rnacentral:tRNA from 1 species
GGUUGUGGCUCAGUGGCAGAGCACUUGCCUGGCAUGUGUAAGACCCUGGGUUCAAAUCUCAGCACCA